AACUUUUAACAACGGAUCUCUUGGUUCUGGCAUCGAUGAAGAACGCAGCCAGCGAAAUGCGAUAAGUAAUGUGAAUUGCAGAAUUCAGUGAAUCAUCGAAUCUUUGAACGCACAUUGCGCCCCCUGGUAUUCCGGGGGGCAUGCCUGUUCGAGCGUCAUU
rnacentral:rRNA from 1 species